AAAAAGUUAGUAUAUAAAAUUAUAAUUGGUUGUCGGCCUUUAGAAGAGGAUUAAUCCUCACUUUUUG
rnacentral:tRNA from 1 species